UGAGCUGAGAGUUUGAUCCUGGCUCAGGACGAACGCUGGCGGCGUGCUUAACACAUGCAAGUUGAACGACGGU
rnacentral:rRNA from 1 species